rnacentral:rRNA from 1 species
GAUGAACGCUGGCGGCGUGCCUAAUACAUGCAAGUCGAGCGAACAGAUGAGGAGCUUGCUCCUCUGACGUUAGCGGCGGACGGGUGAGUAACACGUGGAUAACCUACCUAUAAGACUGGGAUAACUUCGGGAAACCGGAGCUAAUACCGGAUAAUAUAUUGAACCGCAUGGUUCAAUAGUGAAAGACGGUUUUGCUGUCACUUAUAGAUGGAUCCGCGCCGCAUUAGCUAGUUGGUAAGUUAACGGCUUACCAAGGCAACGAUGCGUAGCCGACCUGAGAGGGUGAUGGGCCACACUGAACGUGAGAAACGGUACGACCUCCUAGGGAGGGCAGAGGUAGGGAAUCUACGGAAAUGGGGGAAAGCUUGACGAAGAAACGCACGGGGGGUGAUGAAGGCCUUCGGUCCGAAAAACUUUUUUAUAGGGAAGAACAAAUGUGUAAGUAACUAUGCACGUCUUGACGGUACCUAAUCAGAAAGCCACGGCUAACUACGUG